UAAGCUUUGUUUCCUACAACGGCAAGUUCGAAACAAAUACAAAACAAGGUAUGUUUAUAGAAGUAGAUGGGCGUUGAGAUUAAUUUUUGUUUUGUUGCAGCAAAAUAUCAAAUACAUGGUGACCAUCAUCAAGGGUUUCUGCAGCUAGCUUGCAUGUAUUAAUUAAUUUCUCAGGUUUGUAAGCAAGGUGACAGAAGAGAGUGAGCACUUAUGGUUUUCGUGCAUGGAUCUUCAUGCUUGAAGCUAUGUGUGCUCACUCUCUAUCUGUCAUCCACCUCUCUCUCUCAGGAAAUCUACUCAUCAUUUUUACUUAUUGAUUUCAUUUCUAUUGUAAUCUUUUCAUGAAUAUAGCUUUGUGUUCAGCAUAUAUACAUAGAGAGAGAGAGAGAGAGAGAGAUUGUGGCUCACCUUCUAAUGAUGCAGCUAUAGCUUCAGCCAACGUUUUGGUUAUUGGUGAGUUUCCUUAACUCGAUCGGAUGUUAUUCCAGCGUCUUAGCCCCUGCAGCUAGCUAUGGAAAGAGCUUACCGGCCGCCGAUGCUGCGAAUCUGUGUAGCGAGUGUAGUAUAUACACAACCCCUCAGUUUUCGGCCAGGUUCGGAAAUUUCCAGCGAGGUCUCUGGUUGGUGUUUCUCGACAUGUGUUGGCUAUAGUAAUAAUAUGGCUCAUCCUCCCUCGAGGGAAAACUCAUUUUUGUCGUUGUUCUUAUUCUAGAAUUUAAGGGUUUGAUUCGACUCUUCGAUUUUCUGCUUUUACUUGAAACUUCUCUUAAGAAGAAAUCUCAGCCAGACCCUUUUUGUUUUUUUCUUUUUACCUGCGAAGAAAAUUGCUGCAAACUGCAGCAAAGAAAAUUACAAGAAGACCAUUAGACUUUCCAGCAAUAUGAGGAUAAUAUUUCUCAAAAAUAUUAACGGAACGAAUGACAUUUAAUACACAAGACUGUAUCGUCUUAAUAGUUGUCACUAUUGUAAUAAUGUCCCAAAAGUAACAAUGAGACUUUCUUGGUUGAUUUAUUGAAAUUUGAUGGGUUUGAGACAGGAUUUUUGGAUCAGGUUUGAUGGCACGAAGAAUUUAAUGAGUUAGAGUUUAGUGGUUGAAAAAUUAAUAAAAUUAAUUAUUGAUUCGGAUAAGUUAAAGUUUUGG
rnacentral:lncRNA from 1 species